rnacentral:rRNA from 1 species
AUUGAACGCUGGCGGCAGGCUUAACACAUGCAAGUCGAGCGGGGGAAGGUAGCUUGCUACUGGACCUAGCGGCGGACGGGUGAGUAAUGCUUAGGAAUCUGCCUAUUAGUGGGGGACAACAUCUCGAAAGGGAUGCUAAUACCGCAUACGUCCUACGGGAGAAAGCAGGGGAUCUUCGGACCUUGCGCUAAUAGAUGAGCCUAAGUCGGAUUAGCUAGUUGGUGGGGUAAAGGACUACCAAGGCGACGAUCUGUAGCGGGUCUGAGAGGAUGAUCGGGCACACUGGGACUGAGACACCGGCCAGACUCCUACGGGAGGCAGCAGUGGGGAAUAGUGGACAAUGGGGGGAAGCCUGAUCCAGCCAUGCCGCGUGUGUGAAGAAGGCCUUAUGGUUGUAAAGCACUUUAAGCGAGGAGGAGGCUACUUUAGUUAAUACCUAGGGAUAGUGGACGUUACUCGCAGAAUAAGCACCGGCUAACUCUGUGCCAGCAGCCGCGGUAA